rnacentral:lncRNA from 1 species
UUUUUUUCUUUUUUCUCCAUCUUGAAUGGCAGGGACCGAACCCGCAACCUCAUGGUUCCUAGUUGGAUUCGUUAACCACUGUGCCACGACGGGAACUCCUAUUUCUUAUUCUUAAUUCUCUAUCUCCUAAUUAUAAAUAUAAGUAUAAAUUUCCCACUUUUAAAUACCUUUCUACAUAUUAUGUCUUUUCCUAAUUCUCAUCUGUUUUACCUAUCAGUAUCAGUAUUUUUUAAAUUUUGUCUCUUAUUUGUAAUUAUUUUUAAAAUUUUAUUUUGUUUUUAUGGUAUUUCUUCCAAUAUAUUCUUAUUUGAUUUUUUUCUCUUCCCUUCUUGUAUUUUUAUUUAUUUUAUGGUUUUGGAUCCUAUGCCAAAAAAAAGUAUGCCAUAGGAGCAGUGACAGAGAGAAAGAUGGGGGUGGGGGAGGAAGAGGGAGAGAGAGGACCCCUUCUUUCCUCUUGUGGUUGCAGAAUUGCCUUUCCAGGUUCACUUAAUAUAUUUCCCAUUCUUUUAAGGAGGCCUCUCCAAAGCAGCCAUGUACAUUCUCCAAAGAUUCUAGAGACUUGCAGAUUAACUCUAGAGAGGGCUCUAGUGUAUUCUAUGUGGAUAGCAUAUUUGAUUUACAAGCAUACCUUGAGGAUAUUGUGGGCUCAGUUCCAGACACUGCAAUAAAGUGAGUAUUGCAACAAAGCAAGUCAUGAAUUUUCUGGUUUGCCAAUGCAUAUAAAAAUUAUUCCUAUAUGACACUGUAGUCUAAGUAUGCAAUAGCAUUAUGCCUUUAAAAAAGCAACGUUCAUACGUUAUUUGAAAAAUAAUUUAUUGCUAAAAAAUGCUAACCCUCAACUGAACUUUCAGUGAUCAUAAUUUUUUUCUAAUGGAGGCUCUUCUCAAUGGCUGUUGACGAAUCAGGGUGGUGGUUACUGAAGCUUGAGGUGGUUGUGGCAGUUUCUUAAAAUAAGACAUGAAGCUUGCCUCAUUGAUUGACUCUUUUUCAUAGGAACCAUUUUUCUGUAGCAUUCAGUGAUGUUUGAUAGCAUUUUACCUUCAGUAGAACUUCUUUUGAAAUGGGAGUCAGUUUUCUCAAAUUUUGGCAGUGCUUUAUCAACUAAGUUUAUGUAAUAUUCUAAAUCAUUUGGUCUUUCAGCAAUCUUCACAGUAUCUUUACCAGGGGUAGAUUCCAUCUUAAGAAACCACUUUCGUUGCUCAUCCAUAAGAAUCAAUUCCUCAUCUGUUAAAGAUUUAUCAUGAGAUUGCAACAAUAAAGUCACAUCUUCAGGGUCCAUUUCUAAUUCUUGUUUUGUCGCUAUUUCGACCACAUUUGCAGUUCCUUCUUCUACUGAAGUCUUGAACCCCUCAAAGUUUUCUAUGAAGAUUGAAAUCAGCUUCUUUAAAACUCCAAAAAUAAUGAUGUUUUGACCUCUUCCCAAGAAUCAUGAAUGUUCUUAAUAGUAUAUAGAAUGGUGAAUCCUUUUCAGAAGGUUUUUGAUUGAAUUUACCCCAGUCCAUCAGAGGAACCACUAUCUGUGGCAGCUUUAGCCUUGUGAAAUGUGUUUUUAAAUCAUGAAACGGCUUCUUGAUCCAUGGGCUACAGAGUGGAUGUUGUGUUGCCAGGCAUGAAAACACCACGGGUAUCAUUGCACAUCUACACUAGAGCUCAUGGGUGACACAUGCGUUGUAAAUGAAAGGUGAUAUUUUGAAAGGAUUUUUUUUUUUCUGAGGUGUAGGUCUUAACAGUAUACUCAAAAUAUUUAGAAAUUGGGUUGUGUACAGAUGUGCUAUCAUCCAGGCUUUGUUUUCCAUUUAUAGAGCACAGGCAGAGUGAAUUUAGCAUAAUUAUUAAGGGCCCAAGAAUUUUCAGAGUGAUAAAUGAGUACUGGCUUCAGCUUAAAGUCACCAAUUGCAUUAACCCCUAAAAGGAGAUUCAGCCUCUCCUUGAAUCUCUGAAGCCAGGCAUUGACUUCUCCUCUUUAGCAAUGCAAGUCCUAGAUUGAUCGUCCAGUAAAAGAUUGCUUUGUCUACACUGACAAUCUGUUGGUUAGUGCAGCCAACUUUAUUAUCUUAUCCAGAUCUUGUGGACAUCAGCACUUGCUGCUUUUCCUUGCAUUUUUAUGUUAUGGAUAUGGUUUCUUUUCUUAAACAUCAUGAAUCAAUCUCUACUGACUUCAAAACUGGACUAGAGAAUAUUCAGGAACUUGAAUUUUAACAGAUAUGAGCUCCUUGUGUAAUAAAACAUCAGUGAUACCUAAAAUAGAUCCUAAUGCUCAGUGUAAUUUAAAAAUCCACAUUAUAAACAUAUCACAUAUCUGUGAUCCAAUAAUUUAUUUAAGUGAUUAUGAAACUCUUUCUGACAUAAUCAGACUUAACACCAUGCCAGAGAUCCUGGGAAGAAGGAGAGAGGUACAAUUGGCAUACUUAGAAUUUGUUCAAGAAAAGGACCAGUGCCGGUCUUUUUCUUUGUUCAUUUGGUAGAGCCUUUACUGCAUCAUUUUUUCUUGGAUGUUACACUGGCUUUUCUCUGCCAUCAACACUCCUGAUAAAGAGAGAAGCAGGGUAUGGCUAUAAUAGCAUGUCCUGGAUAUGGCCACUCUGGUUCAUUGGACUCUUCAGAUUCAUUUCACAUGAAAAUGUAAAUGUUAUAUCCAAAUUUAAUGUAGGCUUUUACCCUGUUUCCAGGCUGUGCUAACUGUGGCCAUAUCCUUCACCAUGCUCAUAAACUUUAGGAGUUACAGCAGACCCCAUAUGACUUUCUGGAACCAUGUUUGAUCUGCCUUUGAAAACUGUUCAACUCCCUGUCAUUGUAUAGAUGGUGGGCUUAUAUUUGGGCAUGUAUAUAUUCUCAGUAGGCUUUCCUUCACAAUGGAAUUUGGUGCCAUACUAAUACUGACUUGUUAAAAUAAGGCAGUGUAUUUAAAUGUAAUAAAGGUUAGCUAUCCUUCUUAGGGACUAUAUUUUGAAGUUACUUUACAUCAGUGUCUAUAGCAAACUCCAUUGAGAGAUACAGUUCUUGUAUCCAUGAACGUAUAUUGCAUACCUAUUUUGUAUGCAGUGAAUCCCCAAGUACUAUUUUGGGAAUUGCAAACUCCAGAUUCAACAAAUUCGGCAAAAUCUGUGGUUUCACGGAGCUGAUAAUCUUUUAGAAACACAGUUUCUUUAUGUAGUGCGUAAGAACUUGAACGCUUAUGUUUUACCUGAAUUCAGAGUCUGCCUUGAGCCCAUUUCAGAUUUGUGAUCUUGGGCCUCUCAUUUUUGCUUCUGAGAUGGAUAUGGCAAUACAGGUUAACAGUCUUUUAUCUGAAACUCUUUGGGGCAAGGUAUGUUUCAGAAUUCAGAAAUAUUAGACUUCUAGAAAGGUAAUAUCUAUUCAGUACAUAAUAACUGCAGCAGGUCUGCAGCAGCGCCUUGUACUUUUUUCAAAGAAACAUACUGAUAGUCCCUCUCAGUAGAAUAAAUGGAAACCAUAAAUACUCAAUUCAGGUCAAUAUUUGCCACCAUGCUUAUGUAUCAGAUUUAGGAAAAAACAACAACGGAAACAACUUUUGGUUUUUUCCUGGUUUGGGGUUCCAAAAUUAAUUAGUAGUAAUUAAAAUGAAAAGUUAAUUAGUAGUAAUUAGUAAUUGCUACUAAUUACUACUUAGAAAUUCUAAGCUACUCUUACUCUAUUCUUACUCUAAGCUAAGAGUGUAUAUCGAUCUAUAGUACUUCCCUCCCAGCAUUGUUAUAAGAACUAAAAAAGACAACUCAUGUCUUCUCAUUACAGGUUCUAGCACGUGGGGGGUGCAUGUCUAUUAUUAAUGUCAUCAUUGGUCUACCUGUUUCUUUAGCAAGUAAAAAACGUUAUAUCUUUGCAAUAUAAAUUAUAAAUCUUAAGAAAUUUCUUAAUCUCCUAAUCCUGAAAAAUGUAGAAGCAAAAGAAAAAAAGAGAAUAUCAGUUCUUUGCCCUCAAUAAUAAUGUUUCUAUAAUGUCGAUCUUUAUUUUUAUAUUUCUUUUAUUUAACUUCAAAGAUUUUCAUUUAUCAUCUAAAAUAAUAUUAAAUUUAGAAACUAUUUCAUGAGUUAAUCACAUUAUUCUCUAUUUUCACAUCAGUUUAUUACACUUAAACCCCAUUAACUGAAAAUUUAUAAAAACAAUAACUAUUUUUUUCUGCCAUCCUAUUUAGCAUCAUUAUUAGCCCAUGCACACACCCUGCUGCACUUUACAAGGCAGAAACACUGAAUUGCUUAUAGGUCACCAAACAUACACUGGCAUUUCAGACUUUUAUCUCUUUGCACUUGUGUUCCCUUUGCUUGUAAUAAAUGUUCUCUUCUCCGUUGUUCACUGGAGCAAAUCCUGUGUGACCUUCACAACCCAAAUUGAAGGUCAUUACUUUCAGAAAAUUUUCUUGACAGUCUUAGGGAGCACUUCUUUGUUUUAUUUCCAUUGUUUUUCUGUAUUUUCUCUUUAUCUUGUGCACAUGUGCUUUUUUUUUUUUGACUCCUUCAUCUCUGUACUCCUAACAAAGCACUUCCUAUAUUUUUGUUGUUUGUUAAUGGGUUUAAACUAAACUGAAUUGAAAUUGAAAUAUGUAUGUCAGGCAAAGUAUGACAUAGUUCAUUAAAAGACAUAAAAGCUACUCUGAGCUUAAUCCUAAUAAUGGAGGAGGUGGGAGAAGAAUUCAAGAAGUUUUCAUUUAGACCUUGUGUAUGUGAUGCCACCAGUGCACUACCCAAAGCCAUAGUGAGAUUAUAGAUGUGGGCCACAGGAGAAAUAUCAGAAAGGAGGAAUCAAAAAGGAAGUCUGAAUCAGAAAGGAGGAAUCAAAAAGGAAGUAUGAAUCAAAAAGGAAGAAAAAGUGGCCAAAGUGAUAAAACAAUAAAAAAUUUAUAGAAACAAAAGUUGCAUCUUGAGGAAUGCUGCUGUUCAAGGAGUUUACAUCUGGAAAGUGAUUGUGUUGGAUUCCAAAAGGAUGAGAUGAGAAGUGCAGCAAGAAAAGUGGGAGAGAUUAUUGUGUUAGAAACGAAAGGGUGAAGAGAGUCUCAAAACAAAGUAAAUGUUAAUUGUGUUAAAUAAAUAUAUCUGGGAGACAUUGUUGAUAUUUGUGAUAGUAGCUUCAUUGCAAUAGAUUUUAGUGUUUUGAAGGAUAAAUAAUUUUAAGAAAAAGAGAGGUGUUCCCUACAGAACAUGCCUAAUUGGACUAGAGGAGGCUGUGGGAUUGUCAGAGGAUUUUUUUUUUUAAUGUAAAGAUUACCUAGCCAUGUCAGGCUAUAAUAAAAAAAAAAAAAAGGAGGAAGAUUGAACACACAUAACAAAGUAACAAUCAUAGAUCAUUUAUAAGUAGAAUAACUUUGCUGUGAGACUGGUGAUAUGUAUUAAAGGUUUGGGAUCAUAAAUAGGUAAAUUUUUAGAUUAGAGAGUGGAGAAUGUAAGUUGAGAACGUUGCUGUAACAUGCUCUCUUUUUUCUUAGUGAAGUCUAAAUGCCUCCAUUCCAACAACAGCUAGUGGGAAGUUAAGGCUUUAUCAGAAUGAUAAAAGGCAAGAACAGCUGCUUUGAGGCAAAAGAGGAAGCUGACUAGGAUAUACAGAAAGAUUGUUAGGUCCUGAAGAUUCAAAAAUGAGGCUGGACACAUUGGAACUGUGAGGGCACAAAUCAGCAGAGCUUUUGUGAUUUUUCCCCAGGAGCCCUCAGUGGCCAGGGAAGGAAGAUAGAUGAUUAAAUUAAUGUAUAUUUGGAGUUUUUCAAAGUAAAUAUUCCAUAAAGAAAAGCAAAAAGUUUAAAAAAAGCAAGUGAGUUAAUAUAAUGUUCAGAUAAUAAUUGAAAGACUGAAUACUAGGUUGAGUCUGACAUAGAGACAUGAAGUAAGAUGGGGGUUGAUGCUGAAUUCAUCGUGUGGCUGAUGAUAUCAGUGACAAUUAAUAAACUUUCCUAGAAGCUGGAACAAAGGCAAACUUUGGAUUGUGGACAGUUAGUCUGGAAAGUAACCUUCCUUAGAAAUACCUUAAAGUGUCCAGGGUUCAUCUAGGUUACACAUUUUAUGGUAAAGCAUGUACAUUCUGCAUUGAGAGUUCUUUUCAAAAUAUUUAGUUUCUAUUAGUAGAAUAUUAGUCUAGCAUUAAUUUUCAGUGUUAAUAACCAUUUAUAGGGUUAGAUCCAAGACUGAUAUGUAUAUAUAGAAAAAACUCACUCAAUACUAUAUUUUACAGUUAAAAUUAAAACAGGAAUUUAAAAUCUCAGAAAUUGAGUGUAGUGACAUGAUUAUGUGUCUCAGCUUUCAUUAUUUCAUAAAAAAAAAAAAAAAAA